GCACAACUCUGAUCGGUGGAUCACUCGGCUCGUGUGUCGAUGAAGAGCGCAGCCAACUGUGUGAAUUAAUGUGAACUGCAUAAUGCUUUGAACAUCGACACUUCGAACGCAUCUAGA
rnacentral:rRNA from 1 species